rnacentral:rRNA from 1 species
UGUAACUUAUUGUAUGUACUUUACGAAUAAGGAUCGGCUAACUCCGUGCCAGCAGCCGCGGUAAUACGGAGGAUCCAAGCGUUAUCCGGAUUUAUUGGGUUUAAAGGGUGCGUAGGCGGGCCCUUAAGUCAGUGGUGAAAGUUUGCAGCUUAACUGUAAAAUUGCCAUUGAAACUGAGGGUCUUGAGUGUAAAUAAGGUAGGCGGAAUGUGUUGUGUAGCGGUGAAAUGCUUAGAUAUAACACAGAACACCAAUUGCGAAGGCAGCUUACUGGGAUACAACUGACGCUGAGGCACGAAAGCGUGGGGAUCAAACAGGAUUAGAUACCCUGGUAGUCCACGCAGUAAACGAUGAAUACUAGCUGUAUGCGAUAUACUGUAUGUGGCACAGCGAAAGCGUUAAGUAUUCCACCUGGGGAGUACGUUCGCAAGAAUGAAACUCAAAGGAAUUGACGGGGGCCCGCACAAGCGGAGGAACAUGUGGUUUAAUUCGAUGAUACGCGAGGAACCUUACCCGGGCUUGAAAUGCAGACGACCGAUCAGGAAACUGAUCUUCCAGCAAUGGCGUCUGUGUAGGUGCUGCAUGGUUGUCGUCAGCUCGUGCCGUGAGGUGUCGGCUUAAGUGCCAUAACGAGCGCAACCCCUAUCAUUAGUUACUAACAGGUUAAGCUGAGGACUCUAGUGAGACUGCCACCGUAAGGUGUGAGGAAGGUGGGGAUGACGUCAAAUCAGCACGGCCCUUACGUCCGGGGCGACACACGUGUUACAAUGGGGGGUACAGAGGGUUGCUACUUGGUGACAAGAUGCUAAUCUCUUAAAGCCUCUCUCAGUUCGGAUCGGAGUCUGCAACUCGACUCCGUGAAGCUGGAUUCGCUAGUAAUCGCGCAUCAGCCAUGGCGCGGUGAAUACGUUCCCGGGCCUUGUACACACCGCCCGU